CACGAUUUAUGAUUUUGAAAUCUUCAUGUACUUAUAAGAUAUCUACAAGCUGUAUUAUAAUAAUCUGUUUCUGCUAACAUGUUUUUGGUUGAAAUUGAAGACUGCCAAUCAAAAUCCACUUUCGGCACAAGAAGUCUUUAUAGUUAUUUCUCUCAAAUCGACUAGUUUCAAAUGACAUGCUUUCAGCGUCUGAAGGAAUAAGUUCUGCAGCUAAGACAUGUAACUUCUGCUAUGAAAUUGCAAAUGGCAUUGUAUAACCAGCUGAACAGUUAUCAGCUUACAGCGUCCAGCUAUGUUUGACUCACUCACUCCAUCGAUAUCGGGCUCAUUUGUGAUUCAGCCUUGAUCGAAGUCAACAAAGCAAGAAUUCUUCCUACAAAUACCUCACAAUGAUCAACAUCAAUCAGCCGACAAGCUGCGCACGCGUCGACCAGCUGUUCUCACUUCCUCUGUUCUCUGACUCCAUCAAUUGACAGCAUCUGCACUUGACCCAGCAAGUCGCGCACGCGCCGCCCAGCUGUACGCUUCCUCUGCUCCCUGACUCCGACAAUUGACGGCAUCUGUCUCCGACCAGGGAACUAGACCUGUAAAAUUGCGAUGUUUGUGACACAAUCUCGCCUGAACCAUUAAGCAGAUUUCAAAAAACUUUGAUAACUUAGUCUGACCUGAAAUAAAA